rnacentral:tRNA from 1 species
AUCUUUCUAGUAUUAAUGUUAGUACCAGUGACUUCCAAUCACUUGGUCUUGGAUAAACCCCAAGGAGAGAUA